rnacentral:rRNA from 1 species
UACAGAGGGUGCAAGCGUUAAUCGGAAUUACUGGGCGUAAAGGGCGCGUAGGCGGCCAUCUAAGUCAGACGUGAAAUCCCCCGGCUUAACCUGGGAACUGCGUCUGAUACUGGACGGCUUGAGUUUGGGAGAGGGAUGCAGAAUUCCAGGUGUAGCGGUGAAAUGCGUAGAUAUCUGGAGGAAUACCGGUGGCGAAGGCGGCAUCCUGGACCAACACUGACGCUGAGGCGCGAAAGCGUGGGGAGCGAACAGG